rnacentral:rRNA from 1 species
UCGGGAAUAUUGCGCAAUGGAGGAAACUCUGACGCAGUGACGCCGCGUGCAGGAAGAAGGUUUUCGGAUUGUAAACUGCUUUAGACAGGGAAGAAAAAAAUGACGGUACCUGUAGAAUAAGCUCCGGCUAACUACGUGCCAGCAGCCGCGGUAAUACGUAGGGAGCAAGCGUUAUCCGGAUUUAUUGGGUGUAAAGGGUGCGUAGACGGGAAGACAAGUUAGUUGUGAAAUCCCUCGGCUUAACUGAGGAACUGCAACUAAAACUAUCAUUCUUGAGUGCUGGAGAGGAAAGUGGAAUUCCUAGUGUAGCGGUGAAAUGCGUAGAUAUUAGGAGGAACACCAGUGGCGAAGGCGACUUUCUGGACAGUAACUGACGUUGAGGCACGAAAGUGUGGGGAGCAAACAGGAUUAGAUACC